rnacentral:tRNA from 1 species
UCCGAAUUGGUGUAGUGGCCAACAUUUGACGCUCUCAACUUAACAGUACCGUCAAGCCCGGGGUUCGAUUCCCCGAUUCGGAG